AUGCUCGCUUUGGCAGCACAUAAACUAAACUUGGAAUGAUACAGAGAAGAUUAGCAUGGCCCCUGCACAGGAUGAUACACAAAUUCGUGAAGCAUUUCAUAAAAGA